GGCGUGGGUGAUGAAAACUUGCCCUUAGGUAGGCUCCUUUUUGUUCCGUUUUGGUUCAAAGCGUAGGGCCUACCGAUGGUAGGACUUGUCAUAGUUACACUGACACGCA
ensembl:snoRNA small nucleolar RNA, C/D box 46